rnacentral:lncRNA from 1 species
CUUCAUCAGAUUUUCCAUUCAAGUCACUUCAUGUUGGGGAAGUUAGUUCUGUUGAGGGUUUCACCACUGCACUCUGGGCAAUAUCUUGGUUUGGUUGAUUAAGGAUUUCUGACCACAGUUUAUAUAAGAAUCAGAUGCUUGGAAACAUCUCAAGUCUUGCAAAAGUUGCCAGCCAGAAACAAGCUCACAUAAGGAUGGUACAGAAGUGCAAAUCACAUCUGGAAUGUCCUCUAACAAUCUCAAGACUUUUUCAAAAGGAGACACAGAGAGGGAGACAUCCCAGAGAAUGAUUUCAGAUUGUGAAGGCAUUCAACAUGCAUGUUUUUAAGGUAAAAAUACCUCCAGCCUAGCUUGGUUCCUAUGUAAUUUUGCAGGUACCUCUCCCCAAUCUCAAGGAAAUCACCUGUUUUGUGAACUGCAGAUGCUGCUAAAAUUGAUGUGAAAAACAGUGGUCCAGACAUUAUCUGUGUGAGAAAUUUCUUUAAAAUGCCAGAGCUGUUCUAUGGUAACAAAUUGUAUCAAAA